AGUGAACGCUGGCGGUAGGCCUAACACAUGCAAGUCGAACGGCAGCACAGUAAGAGCUUGCUCUUACGGGUGGCGAGUGGCGGACGGGUGAGGAAUACAUCGGAAUCUACUUUUUCGUGGGGGAUAACGUAGGGAAACUUACGCUAAUACCGCAUACGACCUACGGGUGAAAGCAGGGGAUCUUCGGACCUUGCGCGAUUGAAUGAGCCGAUGUCGGAUUAGCUAGUUGGCGGGGUAAAGGCCCACCAAGGCGACGAUCCGUAGCUGGUCUGAGAGGAUGAUCAGCUACACUGGAACUGAGACACGGUCCAGACUCCUACGGGAGGCAGCAGUGGGGAAUAUUGGACAAUGGGCGCAAGCCUGAUCCAGCCAUACCGCGUGGGUGAAGAAGGCCUUCGGGUUGUAAAGCCCUUUUGUUGGGAAAGAAAAGCAGCAGGUUAAUACCCCGCUGUUCUGACGGUACCCAAAGAAUAAGCACCGGCUAACUUCGU
rnacentral:rRNA from 1 species